CACGUAAGGCGCAAGCGUUGUCCGGAAUUAUUGGGCGUAAAGAGCUCGUAGGCGGUCUGUUGCGUCCGCUGUGAAAACUCGGGGCUUAACCCCGAGCCUGCAGUGGAUACGGGCAGACUAGAGGUAGGUAGGGGAGAAUGGAAUUCCCGGUGUAGCGGUGAAAUGCGCAGAUAUCGGGAGGAACACCGGUGGCGAAGGCGGUUCUCUGGGCCUUACCUGACGCUGAGGAGCGAAAGCGUGGGGAGCGAACAGG
rnacentral:rRNA from 1 species